ACGAACGCUGGCGGCGUGCUUAACCCCUGCAAGUCGAACGGAAAGGCCCCUUUGGGGGUCCUCGAGUGGCGAACGGGUGAGUAACACGUGAGUAACCUGCCCUUGACUUCGGGAUAACUUCAGGAAACUGGGGCUAAUACCGGAUAGGAAUCCUUGCUGCAUGGUGGGGGUUGGAAAGCUUCGGCGGUUUUGGAUGGACUCGCGGCUUAUCAGCUUGUUGGUGGGGUAGUGGCUUACCAAGGCCUUGACGGGUAGCCGGCCUGAGAGGGCGACCGGCCACAUUGGGACUGAGAUACGGCCCAGACUCCUACGGGAGGCAGCAGUGGGGAAUAUUGCACAAUGGGCGGAAGCCUGAUGCAGCAACGCCGCGUGCGGGAUGACGGCCUUCGGGUUGUAAACCGCUUUCAGCAGGGGCGAAGCUUGUGGUGACGGUACCUGCAGAAGAAGCACCGGCUAACUACGUG
rnacentral:rRNA from 1 species